AUUGAACGCUGGCGGCAUGCCUUACACAUGCAAGUCGAACGGUAACAGGUCUUCGGGCGCUGACGAGUGGCGCACGGGUGAGUAAUGCAUCGGAACGUGCCCAGUCGUGGGGGAUAACUGCUCGAAAGAGCAGCUAAUACCGCAUACGACCUGAGGGUGAAAGCGGGGGACCGUAAGGCCUCGCGCGAUUGAGACGGCCGAUGGCAGAUUAGCUAGUUGGUGGGGUAAAGGCCUACCAAGGCAACGAUCUGUAGUUGGUCUGAGAGGACGACCAGCCACACUGGGACUGAGCCACGGCCCAGACUCCUACGGGAGGCAGCAGUGGGGAAUUUUGGACAAUGGGCGCAAGCCUGAUCCAGCAAUGCCGCGUGCAGGAAGAAGGCCUUCGGGUUGUAAACUGCUUUUGUCAGGGAAGAAAUCUUCUGGGCUAAUACCCCGGGAGGAUGACGGUACCUGAAGAAUAAGCACCGGCUAACUACGUG
rnacentral:rRNA from 1 species